UAAAUAACUUUAAAUUUUUAAUUGUGUACCCUUCUUAUAUGUAGUUCAUUAGAAAUAACUUUAAGCUUCAUGUUUCUAUUGGUACUCGAAUUAAUCGGUACUAUAUUUUCGGAUUAAUUCGAUCAAACCCUUUUAUUGGAAACAAUUGAAAUAAGUGAAAAUUGAUUUUUCAAAAAUAGAAAUCACAAUGGCACGUGUUAUAAAAUUCGUAAAGAAUAUUUAUUAUGAUCCUUUUAAAUGGUCAAUAGUUAAAAGUAUCGGUUUAUUUAUACUAGGCGUAAAGAUUGCUGUUGAAUGUAAAGGAGUGAAUCUAAUGCCACCAAUUUCUUAAAAACUGAAAUAUUAAAAACUGAAAAUAGAUUUAAAUUUGUCAUAUUAUGCAUGUGCAUAUGUAUUUUAUCAUUCCCAUGUAAAAAAUAAUUGUAAAAGGCACAAAACAUUU